rnacentral:tRNA from 1 species
GUGUCCUGUGCACAGUGCUAGUGGUAAAAGGCAGCACUCUAGUAUGUGUCUUGGCUAUCAUGCUGAGGUCAUGGGUUCAAAUCCCACCAGACACA